CAGCAGAAAUUUGUUGUAUAUCUAUUUUAUAUACAGUAGUUAGUAUCUGCAAAUCUUGAACCCCCAGUUUAUCCUUUCCCACCCUUUCCACCCCUGGGGAAAUUUGAGCAGAUUUGAGGUUUUUUUUUUUUAUAGUUCCUUUCUUCUCCUCAGCUCUGCAUUCACAGGACUCUUGUUCUUUAAGAGAGGGACCCUAUAAAGGGGACCAUGACCACUGGACUUCUGAAAAGCACAUCACAACCAAGACUUCGCACUUCUCUCCAGGGCCUCAUGAGUAAGAAAGUGUUUGCCGUUUCAGCAGUCAGUGACAUUCACAAGAUGUGGCCAUCGACGUCUUCCAUGAAGAGUGGGGAUUCAUUAACCCAGCUCAGAGAGAAUUGCACAUGGCCAUGAUGUUGGAGACCUACCAGAACUUGGUCUGACUGGGCAUUUCCAUUUCUGAGCCCUACACAGCCUUCCUGUCGGAGCAAGGGACACAGCGCAGAGUGGCGCAGAGGCAAGACCUCCACCGGCAGCGUUUCUGUCAGUGGAGCAUGACAAGAGGCG